rnacentral:rRNA from 1 species
UUGGGUGCGGAAUAACUUCUCGAAGGGAUGCUAAUACCGCAUAAUGUCGUAAGACCAAAGAUUUAUCGCCCAAGGAUGAGCCCGCGUAAGAUUAGCUAGUUGGUGGGGUAAAAGCCUACCAAGGCGACGAUCUUUAGCUGGUCUGAGAGGAUGAUCAGCCACACUGGGACUGAGACACGGCCCAGACUCCUACGGGAGGCAGCAGUGGGGAAUAUUGGACAAUGGGCGAAAGCCUGAUCCAGCAAUGCCGCGUGAGUGAUGAAGGCCCUAGGGUUGUAAAGCUCUUUUACCAGGGAUGAUAAUGACAGUACCUGGAGAAUAAGCUCCGGCUAACUCCGUG